rnacentral:tRNA from 1 species
CAGGAUUUAGCUCAGCGGCAUAAGCACCUGCCUUGCAAGCAGGCAGUUGUGAGUUCAAUCCCCAGUACUGA